GACGAACGCUGGCGGCGUGCUUAACACAUGCAAGUCGAACGAAGUGGCGAACGGGUGAGUAAUACGUGGGUAACCUGCCCUCCUUUUUGGGAUAAGCCUUGGAAACGGGGUCUAAUACCGAAUAAAGGGGGAUGGGCUCGCGGCCUAUCAGCUUGUUGGUGGGGUGAUGGCCUACCAAGGCGGUGACGGGUAGGCGGACUGAGAGGGUGACCGGCUAGAUUGUGACUGAGGUACGGCCCAGACACCUACGGGAGGCAGAAGUUGUGGAUAGUGCACAAUGGGCGAGAGCCUGAUGCAGCGACGCCGCGUGGGGGAUGAAGGCUUUCGGGUUGGAAACCUCUUACGAAAUCGAACGGGUAGCUGGAGAAGAAGCGACGGCUAACUACGUGCCAGCAGCCGCGGUAAUAC
rnacentral:rRNA from 1 species